GAGUAGGGCCCAAGCCAGCCAGGAAGGAGGAGGCAGCCAGAGUGUUCUCUGCAGCAGAAGACUCCUUGCUGCCCUGCUUAACCCAGACCAGCAUUUGCCAGGGAAAUUUCAUCACUUUUCAUCGACAUAACAGUGCAUUUUUUAAGCUGACAGAAGUUUGAUGUGUUUCCUAUAGCAAAUACACUCAAAUAACCUGUAAAUAAUGAGGAUAAACUAGCAGAAGUAGCAGAGGAUUUGAAAAGGCAAAGGACAGCAUCAAACAAUGAGUCUUGGAUUUGGAACUAGAGAAUGACUUAAGCCGAACUUCAAGAACAUACCAACCUCGUAGAGUUCAUGAGAUCUUCCCCAGCAGUUUACUUAUCUACACUUACUGUUGCCAAGUUUCAAUGGGCUUUUACUAGAACCCACUUUAACACACUUUCUUCAAAACUAUUAGAGGGUAGGUAUUGCAAUAUUCCAUUCUCCCAGCGGUUAUGCUGAUGUAAUUCUAGAGAAAUUGAGUCAAUAGCCCAUGUUCUUUUACAACGUGUAUUUUACCUAGAUCUUUGGACUACGUUAAUCCAGCCCUUACUUUAAAAAAAAAAAUUGCCAGGUCAUUCAGAUGAAUUUUAUACUAUAUAUAUUUUAGCUGAUAAAUAUUUUAAAAUCACAUAUCAAGUAGCAAAAUUCUGUUUCUCAGCCAUAAGAGCUUGAUAUGACUUGGUAGCUGCUCCAUGACUGCACUGUGUUGGGAAAUUUUCUUAAAAGUGGCUUAUGCUUUUUAGUAAUUGCAUUUUAGAACGGUAUUUUUAAUUAUUAUUGUGUUUUAUAACUGAUUGUAUUAUGUUUAUUCUGAGUAUAUAUGAUAUUUUAUUUGGUUUUGUUUCCUUUUAAUUUACAAACCGAUAUACUUCUGCAUACCUAGGGAGCCACAAGUAUGUAGAAACUUCGACCAUAUUUUGGGGUGGCCCUGUUCUGCUUCCAAACAGACAGGCACUCAACCACCUGAGUUUGCUACUAGUGUACAUGAUAUUUUCAUUCACUGUGCCAAAUUGCUAAGUAGUCAUUUUAAAAGAUUAAUUUCAAGAAUAUUUACUUCAUGGUAUUCAUUGUUUGCUAUUAAUACUUUCCUUGAGUAAGGCGAAAUUAGUGAGAUCUAGAACACUGGUUCCUUCUUUCUGCAAGACUGCAAAAGAGAUCUAUAGUACAUUGACAGUAUACAUCAUUAACAUCAACAGAAAAAUACACUACUAGAACACUCUAUCAGCACAAUCAUCGAAAUCAACCAUACAUGCACUCAAUACCACAUGGUUUAUCAACAGAGGCCCUGUUUUUAAAAUGUUGUGCAGCCUCUUGGCUGAAACUGAUGUGAAAAAUACACUGGCUGUUAUUUCUCAGGUAAUCAUGUUUUGUUUUGUUUUUUAACAUGUUCAGGUAACGAUAAAUGCAGAAAUAAACAGUUAAGGGUAGUAUUGUAUUACAAUCCCAAACUACG